rnacentral:rRNA from 1 species
AUACAUGCAGUCGAGCGACUGAUUAGAAGCUUGCUUCUAUGACGUUAGCGGCGGACGGGUGAGUAACACGUGGGCAACCUGCCUGUAAGACUGGGAUAACUUCGGGAAACCGAAGCUAAUACCGGAUAGGAUCUUCUCCUUCAUGGGAGAUGAUUGAAAGAUGGUUUCGGCUAUCACUUACAGAUGGGCCCGCGGUGCAUUAGCUAGUUGGUGAGGUAACGGCUCACCAAGGCCACGAUGCAUAGCCGACCUGAGAGGGUGAUCGGCCACACUGGGACUGAGACACGGCCCAGACUCCUACGGGAGGCAGCAGUAGGGGCCGCCGUUUUUCGUUCUGAACC